rnacentral:rRNA from 1 species
AUUGUCGAACCUGCCUAGCAGAACGACCCGAGAACAUGUUUCAACGCUGGGGGGCGGAGGGUCUUGCGGCUCUGCGCCCCCUUAUCCUAGGAGGCAAGUGUCUUGCGUGUUGCAUUUCGGUGCUUCCGCUUGAUCGACCCUCCCAGGCGUACUGAACACCGGCGUGAAUUGCGCCAAGGAACUUGAAUGAAAGAGCGUUCCCCCGCCGUCCCGGAGACGGUGCUCGUGCGGGUGGUUUCGUCGUCUUCAAUAUGUCUAAACGACUCUCGGCAACGGAUAUCUCGGCUCUCGCAUCGAUGAAGAACGUAGCGAAAUGCGAUACUUGGUGUGAAUUGCAGAAUCCCGUGAACCAUCGAGUCUUUGAACGCAAGUUGCGCCCGAAGCCAUUAGGCCGAGGGCACGUCUGCCUGGGCGUCACACGUCGUUGCCCCCCCCAACCCCUCGGGAGUUGGAUGGGACGGAUGAUGGCCUCCCGUGUGCUCAGUCACGCGGUUGGCAUAAAUACCAAGUCCUCGGCGACCAACGCCACGACAAUCGGUGGUUGUCAAACCUCGGUUUCCUGUCGUGCGCGCGUGUUGAUCGAGUGCUUUCUUAAACAAUGCGUGUCGAUCCGUCGAUGCUUACAACGCGACCCCA